rnacentral:rRNA from 1 species
UAGGGAAUCUUCGGCAAUGGACGAAAGUCUGACCGAGCAACGCCGCGUGAGUGAAGAAGGUUUUCGGAUCGUAAAACUCUGUUGGUAGAGAAGAACGUUGGUGAGAGUGGAAAGCUCAUCAAGUGACGGUAACUACCCAGAAAGGGACGGCUAACUACGUGCCAGCAGCCGCGGUAAUACGUAGGUCCCGAGCGUUGUCCGGAUUUAUUGGGCGUAAAGCGAGCGCAGGUGGUUUAUUAAGUCUGGUGUAAAAGGCAGUGGCUCAACCAUUGUAUGCAUUGGAAACUGGUAGACUUGAGUGCAGGAGAGGAGAGUGGAAUUCCAUGUGUAGCGGUGAAAUGCGUAGAUAUAUGGAGGAACACCGGUGGCGAAAGCGGCUCUCUGGCCUGUAACUGACACUGAGGCUCGAAAGCGUGGGGAGCAAACAGGAUUAGAUACCCUGGUAGUCCACGCCGUAAACGAUGAGUGCUAGAUGUAGGGAGCUAUAAGUUCUCUGUAUCGCAGCUAACGCAAUAAGCACUCCGCUUGGGGAGUACGACCGCAAGGUUGAAAC